AAAAUUUAAAAUUAUCGAGUAGUUCAGGGGUCCCGCAGAUCUGUCUCUUGCUUCAACAGUGUUUGGACGGAAAAGAUCCCGGGGACUCUUUCUUCCAGCCUCCGACCGCCCCCCAAUUUCCUCUCCACUUGCAACCUCCGAGACCAUCGUCUCGGUCAUCUCCUGCUUCUGGGAACCUGGCUAACACCGUUUUUGUGGUUAGCUCCUUUUUGCCGACCAACCAUGAGCUCCCAGAUUCGUCAAGAAUUAUUCCACCGACAUGGAGGCAGCCGUCAACCACCUGGUCGGCGUGUACCUGCAGGCCGCCUAUACCUACCUCUCUCUGGGCUACUAUUUUGGCCACGAUGAUGUGGCUCUGGAAAGCGCGAGCCACUUCUUCGGCGAAUUGGCCGAGGAGAAGCGCGAGGGCUACAAGCUUCUCCUGAAGAUGCAAAACCAGCAUGGCGGCCGCGCUCUCUUUCAGGACAUCAAGAAGCCGGCUCAAGAUGAGUGGGGUAAAACCCUGGACGCCAUGGAAGCCGCCAUGGCCGCCGCCAUGGCCCUGGAGAAAAAUCGGAACCAGGCCCUUUUGGAUCUUCAUGCCCUGGGUUCUGCCCACACGGACCCCCAUCUCUGUGACUUCCUGGAGAGUCACUUCCUAGAUGAGGAAGUGAAAAUCAUCAAGAAGAUGGGUGACCACCUGACCAACCUCUGCAGGCUGGCCGGCCCAGAGGCUGGACUGGGCGAGUAUCUCUUUGAAAGGCUCUCUCCAGCACAACUAACACAACUAAGAGCCUACUGAGCCCAGCAACUCAUAAAGGGCCUUUGCAAAAUAACAGGGCUUCUGCCUGUUAUUCCACCUUCUCCAGCCACCAGGCAGCUUUCUAACUCCCCUAACAACCCUUGGACCAAAUGGAAAAAAAGCUUUUUGAA